ACGGGAGGCAGCAGUGGGGAAUAUUGCACAAUGGGGGAAACCCUGAUGCAGCGACGCCGCGUGAGUGAAGAAGUAUUUCGGUAUGUAAAGCUCUAUCAGCAGGGAAGAUAAUGACGGUACCUGACUAAGAAGCACCGGCUAAAUACGUGCCAGCAGCCGCGGUAAUACGUAUGGUGCAAGCGUUAUCCGGAUUUACUGGGUGUAAAGGGAGCGUAGACGGCAUGGCAAGUCUGAAGUGAAAGCCUGGGGCUCAACCCCGGAACUGCUUUGGAAACUGUUAAGCUAGAGUGCAGGAGAGGUAAGUGGAAUUCCUAGUGUAGCGGUGAAAUGCGUAGAUAUUAGGAAGAACACCAGUGGCGAAGGCGGUUAGCUGGACAAUAACUGACGCUGAGGCGCGAAAGCGUGGGUAGCAAACAGGAUUAGAUACCCUGGUA
rnacentral:rRNA from 1 species